GUAGUCAUAUGCUUGUCUCAAAGAUUAAGCCAUGCAUGUCUAAGUAUAAACAAAUUUGUACUGUGAAACUGCAAAUGGCUCAUUAAAUCAGUUAUAGUUUAUUUGAUGUUACCUUGCUACAUGGAUAACUGUGGUAAUUCUAGAGCUAAUACAUGCAAUCAAGCCCCGACUUCCGGAAGGGGUGUAUUUAUUAGAUAAAAAACCAACGCGGCUCGCCGCUCCCUUGGUGAUUCAUAAUAACUUCUCGAAUCGCAUGGCCUUGCGCCGGCGAUGGUUCAUUCAAAUUUCUGCCCUAUCAACUUUCGAUGGUAAGGUAGUGGCUUACCAUGGUUUCAACGGGUAACGGGGAAUA
rnacentral:rRNA from 1 species